GUUCAAUUAUGUAAUAAAUGGAGCUCUUUACCGUAAGGAUGAAAUAAAAUAAAACAAGUAACGAUAUAUGGGUGAGUUGAGAGAAAUUACAAAGUGGGAGUGGAAGACCAUCUAACACACCGUGCAGAGUCGGGACACUAUUCUGAUCAUCAUCCAUGAAGGGAUGCAGUGAUUCCCUUUUGCUCAGUCACAUUAAGUAAAUAUCAGAGCAGUUAUGGUAGCGAUAUUCGUUGCUAGCUGAUGAUGGUGGCAACUUGGGGCCUUAAAUUGAAAUUUUAAGUCAAGGCGCUGAUAUCCUUCAACAAGCAACAAAUAUCACUACCAUGACUACCAUUGAUAUCCUUAAUGUGACAUGGAUCCUUGCCUUGACACUGAGAAUAAUAACGUCUCGGCUCUGCACGCUGUUACAAACAUCGUUAUGCUCAGUGUAAGGAUGCUACUUAUCCUAAGCAACUCAUCAAUUGUCUCACCCAUACAAACAUUAAUAAUUAAUUACAAGUAAUAAUGAAACUAGGAAAAUGAAAUUUACAAAUGAGCAAUGAGGAGACCAAAAAUUGUAAACUAUACAUAUAAAAAUGAAUCACAUGGAGAUACAGAAACUAAUUUCCAUUGCCCAAUAAUAACAUGAUCU
rnacentral:misc_RNA from 1 species